GUUUGUGAAACCCGACGGGAUGAAGGGCUAGGCUCGCCUCCAGAGUAGUGUAGUUUCUCCCGCCGUGGGCACCCGGCCCCUUGCUACCCCGCAAAAUCUCGCGACCAUUUACUCUGGCCAUCCGAAGGCGCGUGCCUGGGUUGCACUCCCGUGUCCGGCCCUCGAGGUUCUUGCCUAGGGAAGACCCGAGCCCUAGGGCCGUACUUAAGCUGCCUGCGUGCAGGACCCGGGUUUUGCUUUUGCUAAUUUCCUCCCCACCCCAGGUAUGUGGGAAUAGAUGAAGACCAUCCGAAUGAGAAGAAAAAAGGCAGGCAGAGGAGUGCAAGUCUGAUUUAGAGCAGGCAGGCUCCCUGGGUUGGUUAUUGUAGGUAACUGACUGGUUUUCUGGGCAGGUUGCUGCAGGUUGUGGAUUGGAGGUCUAUUUUUAUAUUAGAUUUGGCCAUUGUCUUAGUAUAUUCAGCCUCUCAGGUAAAACACUAUAACAUAGGAGAAAAAUGAACGUGUUUUUUUUUUAAAAAAAGAUGUGCUAAAUGCAAGCUCCUAAUUUGUUAUUAGUAGGUCUAACAGAACAGAGUUACUCUUUAAAGUAGCUACUAACACUUACAAAUGCUUUCUAUUUCUGUGCUUGCCUCCCUGGUCCUCGGGCUGGCUGAGCAGCAGUGCCCAAGUAGGUUUUUAAACCGCCAGGGUUUGAGAGAAAUCCCCAAUGAUGGGUAUCGUCCCUUUGAAAGUUCAAAUCUCUACCAAAUAAGCCACACGGAUGCCAAGCUUUGAAGGAAACUUAGGACUAUCAACAGUGCAGAAGUCCAGUUAUAGUGCAGACAAAUGUGUGUAUAAUGGCUAGACAGAACUUAAAAAUGAAGAAACGUGUGGUGGUUGAACUCAAACACUGAUGCCCCUCCCCACUCCCUUACCACCACCAUCUUUAGUUCCUCAGUACUGGGGUACUAAACCUUCCUUGGGUAGUGUUCACAUGAGUAAGCAGAGUUCUUCAAGUUACCUUACACAAGUUCCAUUUACUUCAUCUAAACCUUGGGCCGGUCACUAACUUUUAUAAUUGCCUUUUCUUGUCUUUAAAAUCAUCACCAGGGCUGGGCACUUACUGUGUGCAGGCGCUGUUCUAUGGACUCAGGAUACAUCAGCUACCGAAGCAAAGAUCCCUAACCUUGUGAAACUGACAUUCUGGUGGGAGGACAGAUCCAAUAAAAACUAAAAUAAAUAAGUCAAUGAUGUAGUGUGUUAAAAAGUGAUCGGUGCUGGCUGGGCGCCGUGGCUCAUGCCUAUGAUCCCAACACUUUGGGAAGCCGAGGCAGGCGGAUCACCUGAGGUCAGGAGUUCGAGACCAGCCUGGCCAACAUGGUGAAACCCUGUCUCUAGUAAAAAUACAAAAUUAGCUGGGUGUGAUGGCACACACCUGUAAUCCCAGCUACUCUGGAGGCUGAGGCAGGAGAAUCGCUUGAACCCGGAAGGCAGAGGUUGCAGUGAGCUGAGAUGGUGCCGC
rnacentral:lncRNA from 1 species